ensembl:lncRNA DIRC3 disrupted in renal carcinoma 3
CCCCACACAAAGGGUAUGGAAUCAUAUUCUCCUCUACCUCAUCAAACUUCUCGGAAAGCUCAAAUGGAGAGGGAUGGUGAGCAGUGGCUGAGGAGUAGCAGCUCCCAGGAAGAGCACUCUUGGUGUUGCGAUCUUUGAAUGACGUCUUGGGCUCCAUGGCGCAGCUGGACAGACAGAUGUGUACAGAUGGACGGCCGCAGCGGUGCAGCUGCAAUGCCCAGCGGAAGCAGCAAUGUUCAGCACUUCAGAAGUAGCACUGCCUUACCUGGGUGGCACUGGUGGCCUCUGGGGCGAAGCCGCUGGGCCUCCUGCAACAGUGAUAAAGUCUCCAGCAACCUGUGGGGAAAGGCCUUGCAGAAGACACUCUGGAAACAGAACAAUUCAGGAGGCCGGCCAGCAGUGAGAGGUCCCGCAUCCACUGAGGUGAACAACAGUGCCGUGGGAUGUUAAUGUGGGUAAGUCUCAUCCAAUCCUUUGAAGGCCUGAAGAACAAAGAGUGAGGUUUCUGGAAGAAGAAAAUUUUACCUCAAGCCUGCAAUGUAGAAAUUCUGCUUGAGUUUCCCGCCUGCUGGCCUGCCCUGUGGAAUUCGGAGUCAAGAAGGAGUCUUGUAAGCAUUAACUGAGAUAGUAUAUGAAGAGUGCUUUUGCACCGAGUGAACCUUCAAUCAACUGUACUAGUUUGUAUGCCUGGAAGAGCUGCUAUAUGGGAUCAGAAAGAAAAAUAAGGUGCAUACGCCAGAAAAAAAAUACUUGCAUAUGAGUACUAGGAGAUGCAUGACAAUGUUCACGGCAGCAGUAUUCAUGGCAGUGAAAAAUGAAAAGAACUGAAAUGCCCAUUGAUAAAAACGUCUACUUAUUUGUGUCAUCUUUGCACAGUGGAAUUGUGCGAGUGGAAAUGAUUGAUCUACAGCUAGGAGAAGCAGCAGAGCUCAAUCUCAAAAACAUAACGUUGUGUGGAAAAAGCUAACCUCAGAACACUUUGCGGCUCUAUCUUAGCAAACCAGGAGAGAAAUUCUCCUGAUGGCCUUGAAGAAGCAAACAGCCACCUGGUUAAGCCCCUGUGGAUAGUGCCAAGUGGCAGGAAAGUGGGAGCCACCUCUAGGACCUGAGGAUUAAAGUCAGUAAGAGCUGGGACCUCACUCAUGCAGACUCGAGGACAUGAAUUCGACCAACAACUUGAAUGAGCUUGGAAGUGGAUUCUUCCCUAGUCCAGUCUUCAGAAAUUAAGAAUGUUCCCAAAGAAUGAUGGAGACAUUUCAAAAGGAUACGGAAGCCAGAUUGUGGGCGCUUCUACUGGCCAACUCUGGGACAUCGUGGACAUCAAAAUAAAUUUGUAAUAAUAAAGGAUUAUAGCCUAUUAGUUAAAUCAGAAAAAUCUGAUUUAACUAAAUGAGUAGGAGGAAAAGAAAGCUCUUCCUUAUAUUAGAAAGUCAAUUAAUAAAUGCAGAAAGGAAUGAAAAAAUUAGAAAAGCCACCAUUUGGCAACCAUGGCAGGCAGAAUGGGGAGUAUGCCUCCAGACAGUAAUUCCUUUCAAACUGGUUUAUAGGAACUCACUGAGCUUGCUGAUCGACCUCUGAGAGGCAAAGUUUCUGAAUUAUGAAGUACUGAUUAUAUAAACUUAGACAGAGACAUGCUUCAUUAUUUAAUAGGACUGUGUCAAAAGCCUACUAUUAGGAUGAUGUGUUGGGUGUGGAACAGGGUCUCUUCCUGCCAGGAACACUGGUGAUUUCACUCCGUGUUCAGGCUGAUCUUUGAAGUUGAAGACAAGCAGAAGAAUCCUUCUAAAAUUUAGCCAUGCCCAUAGGCUGGGAGGGACACUGCUCCAUUCAGAGGCAGCAAAGCACAUUACUGUAUCUCCUAUAGAGCUUUGAGCAGUCCAGUGUACAUGGAGAAACUUAGUAAAUGUUGUUGAAUUAGUGAAUGAACAAAUCAAUGGACCAAGUCAGGGGUAAGUCUUACAUUUGUCAUCUAGGUGAUUAAGAAAGGAAAAAGUAUCUGUUUCAAGAGGAUUACAAUCUAACUGUACUCCAAUAGUAAAAUUUACUCUUUUGGAAUCUGAA